rnacentral:lncRNA from 1 species
ACUCCUUCUCCUCCAUGAUGAGCUCCAGCCGCUUCUUGUCGAGCUCGAACUUCUCCGUCUUGGCCUUGGCCUCCUUGGCGUCGGAUCUGGCGUCGGAUCUGGCCUUGGCGUCGGAGGAGGAGGACGCGGAGGGUUUCUUCGCCGGUUGGUCCGCGACGGCGGGCGGGCGGUUGUUCUUCUUCUCCGGGGACUUGGACGGCUGGACGUUGUUGAGCAUCUCGCGCUCCUGCUCGGGAUCGUCCGGGUCGUUCGCGGAGCCGUGCGAGCCGCUCGACCGACCCGCGCGCGCGUUGGCGACGACCGCGCCCCGGGACCGCGGGUUCUCGAGCGUCCCGGCCGAAGACGCCCGGCCGAUGCCGAGGCGCGGGGACGCGGCCGCGCGAAGCGGCGCGAUGACCCGCGCCGCGCGCCAGCCGCCCGCGGAAGAAGACGCCGCGCGCGCGGGACUCUCCCGCGCUGAGGGAAUAUACCGAUUGCCCCCCACCGAGGCGGCCACCACCGAGCGGCCGGAGGUGCUCGUGACCUCCGCGGCCACGGUCCGGACACACGCGCCCGCGCUCAGCGCCAACAUAUCGUCCCACCCUAGAGGA